AUUGAUUACUGAAGUGCACUUGGUUUCAUGCGCGGAUCGGCGCGCAGUGUUGUGGCCCUGAGUCACCUCAAACCUCAGACUAACAGCAGCCUUCGUUUCCUCCUCCUCCUCCUACACUGACCCGGUGAGCGUGCGCACACGGCUGCAGUCUGUGCCAGGCAGUACUCAGGUGAUGGACAGUGGCACGACUCUCCUGAGGGCUCCACUGUUCUAAUUGCAGAUGGAGCAGUUGUUUUUAUACUGCAGGACUGGCGUUCUUGUGGAUUGCGGUGGGAUUCGGUGUUUCAGACGGCCUUUCGUUCUCCUCAAGGAGCCUUAAUCACAAACUUCAAGGACUCACUCUGCAUCAGUUAAUUCAUACUGAAAUCAGUGCAAAGCACUUGGGCUCCCUGAAUGGCUGAGGCCAUCGUUGGAGCGAGCAAGGAAAAAAUAAUACCAGAGAUGUCUAAAAGCAGAGGCUAAAAGCGGCCUGAGCUAGCGGCCUGCUAAAAAAACAAAGCACUGCCCAGGGGAAGAGCAAAGGGUCGGGCAGCGUGGUCCAAACUUGCCACAGCCGCGUCUCUCUGCGUCCACUCACUCCCUUUCUCACCUAUAUGUAGACGAAGGCUCACAGCAGAGCAGUAUAGCAGAUCUGACCACAGACUCACAGUGCAUCUGGAGCCUGGUUAAGGAUUAGAAGAGCACUGGGCAGGACAGGAAUACACAUGGAUGGGAUGCCAGUCCAUCGCUGGACAUCAAGCACUCAAACAAACACACACACCAAUUUACACAUUCAUUCACACCUAGGGGCAAUUUAGAGUCAGCCAUCCACAUACUGGCAUGUUUGGGAAGUGGGAGGAAACUAAAGAAGAAGAAAUCAACACGGACACAGGAAGAAAAUGUAAAACUCUGCACUUUGAGUAACUGGAUCAAACUGGGAAUGCUGGGGUGGUGAGGUGGCAAUGCUGUCAGCUGUACUGCUACUGAUACCUUACUAUUUUAUAUACCCUGAAAUAGAAUUGAAAUAGAAUAGAAAUAGUGUUAAAUAUAAAUCAAAUCAUUCUUAGUCCUGUUCAGGGUCGCAGUGGAUAUGAAAUUUGGGAACACACAAUGGAUAAGGUGCCAGUCCCUUGCAGUGAGGAGAACUUUUUUUUUUUUUUUUUUUACCAGUGUGGAAAUUUAGAGUCACCAAUCUGCGCCCCAAGUACUAGAGCUCAGGAUCAAACCCUUUACCUUGAAACACUAUCUGUUUUGUCGCCAUGCUGCAUGUACUUUAAUUUAAUUCAUUUUAUUAUAUAUACUACAUCUACAUAUUCAUAUACAUAUGACCAUAAUAAUAAAAUGCUUUUGGCUAUUACAGAUGCUUACCGGUGUAAACACUAAUAAAUCAGAAAAGUAAUGGAAGUAUAAGAAAUUAUAGUUAUGACAAAACACAUACAGUUUGAAAAGAAUAUAAAGUUGCUCUAGAAUGGAAAAGCAUCUACUAACAUCUUCCUGCUACUUUUGAGUGGGGAUUUUUCCUCAUUAGUCUAUAGUAUAGACAUAUUAAAUAUUAAAUAAUUGGUACAUUCCGACUGAAAAAGCAGUCAUUCAAAUAGGUUCACCAAAAUCUAGCUCUCUUAAUAACAUGAUCUAAUGAGAUAAAUGUAAAAAUGAAUAUUGUCAGUUAAUUCAGUUGCUAUAAACAGACCUACAACUGAUUCAUGGACCUUGUUACUCCGGCCUUGUUUGAAGAUCAAAGCUAAGAGGUAAUGAUAUUAUAGUUGCUCUUUUCCAAGAAGACCAAAGUCUAUGCCAGUCUUCUCAGAACUUUAACCUACAACCAUCACACUGUCAUAAUCUUUGCAUUCUGCACCACAAACACUUUAUUUAACAGCUUUCUAGACCUCUUCAUAUCAUUGCCUGAAUAAGAGCUAACACUACUGCAAUAGUGAUUCAAUAUAACAAUUUUUGUAUGCAUAUCCUAAAUGAACGUGUGAGAGCAAUUUGCUGGCUGUCUGUAAUAUAAAUUAGCCUGAAAACCUGGAUUUUUCCUUUAUAAACUUUAUAAAACCAUCUUAAGUCUAAAAAGUAGACCUACUGGAGGUAACUCACCAUUAUGGAAGGGUGUAUAAUGAAUUAAUGGGGAUUAAGUACAAACAGUUAAACUGCUAAAUAAGAAUAGUAUUUAAAAAAGGUACCCUAUGAUUUGUUGUUAUGCAAAUGUGACAAUAGGCAGUCAUCAUAUUAAAGGAAAAGCUUAAACU